UGUUAAUUAUUAGCUAUUAUUAUUACUUAGACAUAUUACAAUUAAAUUCUAGAACAAUGAAGAGAAAUGGAAAUGCUUCCAGAGAAUGAGCAUACCUACCAAGGAAAAAUAUUUAGAUUGAUCCCAGGCUUCUUAACAUUGUAAUUACAUUUGAAAACUAAGGACGUUAGAUUCAAUCAACCUUCAGAAUAUUGACCAUAUAAAGAAUCACUUUGAGAAACUCUUGAAGAAUGUAUUGAAAUAAGAAGAUGCAUAAAUAUAUAAGGAAUAUAUGAUGUUGGGCCCCACAUUUUGAGGAUAUUAUAAUAAUUUUUCAAAGCAUGGAUGAAGCAAAAUAUGUAAAUUCUAAAUAGCAUCAACACUGUUUUGAAGCUGGGAGACAACAAAAGAUGAAAAUGGUGUGAACUUGCAAAGUACAAAUAUUGCUAUAUUUAAGAAACCAAUGAAAAAUACGGGGAAACCACGUUUUCAAGAUCUAUUGUUGAUAAUAUAUAAUAUCUUACAAGUUAUUUAAUUCUCUAAUGUAUGGGAAGCAGCGUAGCAUCGUCCUUGCUGUUGCUAUGGUAUUUAUUGCUGUUGAGCCUUCAGGAAACCUCUCUGCAUCUCGGUUUCCUCAUCUAUAAAAUGGAGAUGAUAACUGUACUUACAUCAUGGAGCUGCUAUGAGGAUCAAAGAAGUUAUCAACACUUCAGAAUAUGGCCAGCACAUAGGAACAAUAUAUCUAUUUGCUAAAUCGAAGGAUAAAAAGAAACCUACUUUGUAUGGAAAAGGAGAAAGAAAAGAGUAAGAUUGAACUAUGCUUUGCUGCAUGGUGGGUUUGAUGAAAGUGGAGUCACGCUGAUUGGUGCUCAAGAUAAAUGUCUUAGGGGAAGACUCAUACCCAGUGGAAUUUUUUUUAGUGAAAUAUCGUGGCUCAUGGACUGUGAGAUUUGUCAUUUGUUUUCAAUAAAAUGAUAAAAAUCAUAA
rnacentral:lncRNA from 1 species